rnacentral:rRNA from 1 species
UACGGAGGAUCCGAGCGUUAUCCGGAUUUAUUGGGUUUAAAGGGUGCGCAGGCGGGAUGUUAAGUCGGCGGUGAAACUCACAGGCUCAACCUGUGCCGUGCCGUUGAAACUGUGUAUCUGGAAUGCGGAUGCUGUGGGAGGAAUGUGUAGUGUAGCGGUGAAAUGCAUAGAUAUUACACAGAACACCGAUUGCGAAGGCAUCUCACAAAGCCGUUAUUGACGCUGAGGCACGAAAGUGUGGGGAUCAAACAGGA